AGAAUCAACGCUGGCGGCGUGCCUAACACAUGCAAGUCGCACGAGAAAGGGACUUCGGUCCUGAGUACAGUGGCGCACGGGUGAGUAAUACGUGAAUAAUCUACCUCCGAGUGGGGAAUAACUGAGAGAAAUCUUAGCUAAUACCGCAUAACACUUACGAGUCAAAGCAGCAAUGCGCUUGGAGAGGAGUUCGCGGCAGAUUAGUUAGUUGGCGGGGUAAUGGCCCACCAAGACGAUGAUCUGUAUCCGGCCUGAGAGGGCGCACGGACACACUGGAACUGAAACACGGUCCAGACUCCUACGGGAGGCAGCAGUGGGGAAUUUUGCGCAAUGGGGGAAACCCUGACGCAGCAACGCCGCGUGGAGGAUGAAAUAUCUUGGUAUGUAAACUCCUUUCGAUGGGGAAGAUAAUGACGGUACCCAUAGAAGAAGCCCCGGCUAACUUCGUGCCAGCAGCCGC
rnacentral:rRNA from 1 species